rnacentral:lncRNA from 1 species
AAAAAAAAAAAAAAAUUCAAAGACAAUCACUGUUCACCUUCUCUACUUUUAUACCCUAGUGCAAACCACUGGCAUCUCUCACCUGAACGAAUGUAAUCGUCUUUGAAGUGACAGUGAAGUGACUGUCAAUGAAGUAUUUCUAAAGCUUUCAGAUAUCUGUUUCCCAUUAAACCUGGGGUGAAAUCCAACCCUUAUUAGAAUCACAAGACCUCCAAAGCCUGGCCCUCAUUUCCCACCAUCCCUCUCCUCACUUAUAACACAAUUGUCACACCAACUUUCUUCUGUCAUGCAACUCAUCUGGUUUGUUUUGAUGGAAAGGCCUUUUUGCCUCUUUGUAGCACUUAUUCCCCAAAUCCUUAUAAGGUGCCUUCUUGUCCUCAUUAAGGUCCCAAAUUCCAGUAGACCCUCCUCAAAAGGUCUUCAUACCUCCUCAAACAGCCCCACUUCCCAUCAGUCGAAGAGAACAUUUACCUCUUUUAUCUUAUCCAUAGUGUCUGUUCCUGAAAUUAUCUUAUCUAUUACAGGUCUGUUACCUGCUCUUGGGGCUAGACUACAUGCCCCAUGCCUAGACUACAUGUCCCAUGCAGGCAAGGACUCUGUGUGGUCCAUUGCUAUAUCCCUGGAACCUAGAACAUGCCUGACACAUAGAGAAGCUAAGGAAACACUUGUAGGCUGGCCAGUCCAAACGGAAGGGAAAACCCACAAAAAGUUAAAUGCUUUCUAGCAAGCCAGCUGCUUGGCUCUGUUAUGUGCCUGCUGAUCAAUAGCAUAUAUGUGUCCAUCUUGAGAUCUGCAGAGACUCCCAAAUUGCCCUUCAGAGAUAAAUGAACUAAUCAGGUGAGCUCCUAUUUCUGUUUGGCUUUCUCCAAAUUCUGGUAUGUCAUGCAAUUCUGCUUUCCACUUUGGUGGCCUCCUAGGCCCAGUGAUGCCCUAAUUCUUAUGCAACUUAAUCAAGAAAAGAAUGAGUCAUUGUAAAUGAAUCAAACUAGUUCCAAAAGGAAAUAUGGGUAUAGAUGCUUUCAGAGCAAUGAAAUCAAUACAGGACUCCACCUUCGGGCAGGGUUUAGAAGAUCAUUAAAAAUGCAACCCUUCUCAAAACAGCAAACAUCUUCUGGUCAUUAGAAACCAUGCAAUUUCCUUUUAGAGAAGUCUUUAAAUUGAAGCAACUCUCUAAAGCUCUUUUGUGUGUGUGUGUGUGUGUGUGUGUGUGUGUGUGUGUGUGUGUGUGUGUGUUUAUACCACUCUUACUUUGUCUAGAAUUACUUUGUUGUUGCCCAUAUCAUCAGAAUUAUCAUUGGUAAAAGAAAUUUCCAUUUUGGAAAACAAAGCAAGCAAGCAUGCAGUACAAUGAGCAAUAUUGACCUGAAAUACAAAACAAGAUGGUAGCUGAAUGAUAACUAAUUAGAGACAAGCCAUCAGAAUUAGGAAGCCCUGCCAGUUAGACAUCUUCAACUUCAAGAGGAAAAGAAAGUGUGAACUAGAGAGGGGAAAAAAAAAAUCUCAGAAUCUACCUUGCAUCUUUCAGCAGUUGGGCAAUUAAAUGAAAUUCACACCAAUUGAGAUCAAGGAAGCCUGGAGGCGGACACAAUAAAAGAAGGUUAUAGAUGCCCCAACAACAUGUUGACAGAAUUACAAUCAUUUCACUGCUAGAAAGACAAGGAGUUUUUGAUGAGUUCCUUACAAGUGGUAUCUUUUAAUCAUAGAGAAAAUGGCUUCUCCCAAAUAUAAAAUUGAGCAUGUUAAAAUGCUUUUUUUUUUUUUUUGCAUCCGCGUGAUUAUAUUUUAAUUGACAAAUAAUUACGUUGGCUUAGACCCACAGUGUGCUCAUCCUCUUCUCAUUCUCAUACCAUACAAACAUAGACAUUAAGAAUAUAUUCAAAAAACAUCUAGCUCCUUGAAAUUGUAGUUUAUAUUACAAAAGAAUUUUAUUUCCACCAUAUACAAGAUUCAUCACUGAAUGACUUUAUAAAGAGCUCGCCUGUGUUUUUUAAGUGUUUGCUCAGAGAUUAUUAUUGGACCUAGAUGAUAAAAAGAAGGAAAUUUAAAGUUCACCUUCUAGAAGCCAUAACCAAUUGAAGAGCUAUCAGAAAUAAAAAUAAAGCAUUUCUGAAACCAUUACAUGUGUCAAUAGGAAAGUAAGUUAACAUUUUGAGGAUUUCAUGGAUCAUUUUAACGAACAAAAACACGAUGUAAAACAGGAAACUGGUAGUUAACUGAACGUCAUGACAGAAAAAAAAACAGACCCUUUGCUUGUUCAGUCACUGGAACAGAACCAUCCUCUUUCAACACCAUCUCCAUAGAAUUUUCAACUCUCCCGCCUCCAGCCCAGAAGCUAGAUGACCCGAUUGCAUAUAGGAAAUAAGUUUCCAUAGAUCAAACCUUGUUGGUCUGUGUUCAGUAAUCUCCUUUUACUUUCAAACUGCUAAACUCUGUUCUUAGACAAAGAUGAGUUUCUAUUCUUUUUUGAAAACAUUGUUUUCAGUGUUUGCUGCUUACUAUAUUUGUAAUGAAAAGGCGUAAGUCUCAUCCCCCUUACUAAUCCAUGUUACAGAACAUCGUGGGUUCAGAUAGUGGGUAUAAAUUACUGUCCUAUUGUUCUAUGAAACCAAACCUAACUGACACAUUAGCCAAAAGCUCUGGCAUGGGAUUGUGUUUUGGGUCCAUUGCAAAACCAUCAUUUUCCUCAGCACUGAAGUGGGUCAUCUCUCUACUCGUCUUAAGGAGUUGCUGGAAGGAUGAGAUGAGCUGAGCUAUCUGGAGACUGAGAUGCACAAACAGCUUUACACACAGCCAGUAGAAACAGUGGUGUUUGACGCUGAUAUACAUUUGCAUUUAUAAGCCACAGAUGAUUAGAAAGUUAUCCCCAGGGUGUCCAUGAAAGAUUGAGCCUUCUGACAUGUCCCCAUCUAUGGUAAAGGCCACUACUUCUACCAUGUGACUCGUUCUUUUGCAAUCAGCUAGAGUUGAUACAGUUCCGACAUAGCCCUCUGUGUACCUUAAAAAUCAAUCUUGAGGGAGUUCUCAUCGUAGCUCAGUGGUAACGAACCCACCUACUGUCCAUGAGGACCGGGUUUGAUCCUUGGCCUUGCUCAGUGGGUUAAGGAGCUGGUGUCACCAUGAGCUGUGGCGCAGGUCACAGAUGAGGCUCGAAUCCCACAUUGCUGUCAUUGCUGUGGCUGUGAGGUAGGUCAGCACUGCAGCUCUGAUUGGACCCCUGGUCUAGGAACUUCCAUGCUCCACAGGUGCGGCCCUAAAAAAAAAUAGCAAACUUCAUUCACCAUUGGUUAGAAAAUUUCUAUUUGAACAUCAACAGAAACCAUGUGGAAGCAAACAGGAAUGUACCCAGCUGACUCUCCCAGCUGACCUACAGAUAUGCUCAGGGACAGAAAUUCUGGCACCAUGGGCACUCAAGAGCGAUUUUGAUCAAUGAUAUUCUAUUACUUUGGAAAAGGUCAAAGAGUUCGUGAAAGUUCUAUCUGGGGGUCCACAUUUACGCUUUGUGAAAAUUAUUGACGCUGAUCAUUUUAAAACCA